rnacentral:lncRNA from 1 species
CUCAAGAUCCGAUAAUGUUUAAAAAAUCUGCUUUUUAUUCUUAUUUCAAAAGGGCUGUUCUUUAUACCACUAACCACCAGGACUUGGAACUUGAGUUAAGAUACAUUUAUAAUAUUGGUAACCUUUAUGGCUAUACCAAAGGCUUUUCAGAUGCUAUCUACUAUAAAGUCCUAAGGGACAUAAAUCCCCAACCAAAAAGUCCACCGCAGACAACUGAAUAUGAGUUGAUACCGUUUGUCAUGAAUAGGUAUAGAACCGUUAAGAAGUUAAUUAAAAAAGCUGAUAAGAAAGUCACCUUUAAAAGA